AUAUAAGUUAAGGGCCUAUGACGGAUGCCUUGACAUAAAGAGCCGAUGAAGGACGUGGCGUGACUGCGAUAAGCUUCGGGGAGGUGUCUAGCAACCUUUGAUCCGAAGAUGUCCGAAUGGGGAAACCCGACAAUGUUAACCAUUGUUAGUCCCGAUGUUAAAAUUGGGAUAGGGAACCUGGGGAAGUGAAACAUCUCAGUACCCAGAGGAAAAGAAAACAAAUUCAUUUUUUAAUGAAAUUAUUCUCUUAGUAGCGGCGAGCGAAAAGGGAACAGUCCAAACUCAUUCAUGCUUCGCUAUUGCUCAGCAUUCAUUCGUAAUUUUAAGUUAUAAAUUAUAAAUUUUAAUUGAAAUCUAAAUGGUUUAAUGUUUUAAAAAUUAAAAAUUAGAACAUUGAUUAAAAAUUUAAAAUUAAAAAUUUGAAUGCCGAACAGCAGUGAGGCAUGAGUGGGGGUUGUAAGGUAGUAACGUUCUGGAGCUUUAUCAGAGAUUUUUUUUGAUUUCUGAUAAUGUUCUGGAAGGAGUUUACAUAAAUGUUAGUUAAUCAAAGCUUGCUGGAAAGCAGCACCAAAGAGGGUAAUAGUCCCGUAGGUAAAAACUCUUUUAUGCUCCUAGUUAUUAUUCUUGAGUAGCCCGGGAGGAGACUAUCCCGGGUGAAUCCGGCAGUCCUACACUGCCAAGACUAAAUACUCUUUGUGAUCGAUAGUGAACCAGUACCGUGAGGGAAAGGUGAAAAGUAGCCCGGUAAGGGCGGUGAAAUAGAACCUGAAAUCAUAGGCCUACAAAGACUCGGAGCCCCGACAUUUUUUGUCGUGGGUAACGGGGUGCUUUUUGCAGAACGAGCCAACGAGUGUAUCUAUGCGGCUUGUUUAAGUCCGUCUAGGACGAAGACAUAGUGAAAGCGAGGAUUAAUAGUCCGCUUUAGUCGUUUGGAUACGACCCGAAGCCAGAGCGAUCUAACCAUGACCAGGGUGAAUUCUAAGUAAAAUUAGAAGGAGGCCCGAACCCACUAGCCGUGCAACACUAGGGGAUGAGUUGUGGUUCGCAGUGAAAUGCUAAUCGAGCCUGGUAAUAGCUGGUUCUUCCCGAAAUAGUUUUAGGGCUAGCCUUUUGUGAAUGUAUUAAGGGGUAGAGCACUGGAUGGGAUAUGGAUGGGUUCGUCCCGCCUAUUUCAAUCAAACUCCGAAUACUUAAUAUUACUGCAAAAGAGUCAGACCGUGGGGGCUAAGCUCCAUGGUCAAAAGGGAAACAGCCCAGAUUGUCGUCUAAGGUCCCUAAAUCAAGCUAAGUGGAGAAGGAAGUGAAGUUUCUCUGUCAGCUAGGAGGUUGGCUUAGAAGCAGCCAUCCUUUAAAGAGUGCGUAAUAGCUCACUAGUUCAGAGAUUUUGCGCCGAAGAUUUAACGGGGCUAAGCUUGGUACCGAAGACACAGGUGUCUCGACUUUACGUCGGGACGCGGUAGGGAAGCGUUCUUUGAGCAUUGAAGCUUACGGCGUGAGCCGGAGUGGAGUUCAAAGAAGUGAGAAUGUUGGCAUGAGUAACUACAAAUCCGGUGAGAUACCGGAUCGCCGAAAACCCAAGGUUUCCUUGGCAAUGAAUAUCAGCCAAGGGUUAGGCGGGCCUUAGUUGCAUGCAUUUUUUUUGAAAUGCAUAGUAGCGAUGGACAGACGGUUAAUAUUCCGUCUCCUCAAUAUUUUUCGAUGAAAGGACGAAGUUUAGUAGCUUGAGCGGCUUAUUGGAUUGCCGUUCUUUGCCUUAGGGUGCAAACUUAAGGGUUGAGAAAAGAUUUUUCUACGGAAUUAUCGAUUUGAGUGAGCAAGCUUCCAAGAAAAGUUUCUAAGAUUAGAAAUAUUGAGUCCGUACCGUAAACCAACACAGGUGGGUAGGUCGAGUAGACCAAGGCGAACGGGUGAUUCUUCGUGAAGGAACUCGGCAAAACAGCGGGUGUAACUUUGGAAUAAACCCUGCCCUCUUUAUGAGGGCCACAGCAAAAGAUUCCUGGCGACUGUUUACCAAAAACAUAGCUCCCUGCUAACUCGCAAGAGGAUGUAUAGGGGGUGACGCCUGACCAAUGCUAGAAGGUUAACAGUUGAGGUGAUUAUUCAUUUAUGGAUAAUUGCUGAAGCUCGAAGCCCUAGUGAAUGUCGGCCCUAACUAUAAGGGUCCUAAGGUGAAUUUAGUUGCCUUAGUAAAAUUCGGCUAUAUGCUGGAAUAUCUGGAGUAUCUGGCAGUACUAUGGUAUAAUGUUACCAUAGAUAAAAUAACAUUAUGCAAAGUAAAAAUCUGACCAGUGUGUCUUCUAAAAAGAAGACGCCAGACAAUCAGCAGGAAAGACUAAAAACUAUCGGAUGGAUAGUCGGUUAUGUAGAUGGUGAAGGAUGCUUCUCUGUCUCUAUGAUUCGUAAUAAAGAAACAAGAUAUGGUUGGCAAGUUUUUCCAGAAUUUGUUGUUACACAAGGAGAAAAAAGUUUAAAUUCUUUAAAAUUUAUUCAAGAUUUCUUCGGGUGUGGAAAAACAUUUGUUAAUCGACGACAUGAUAAUCACAGGGAAAAUCUUUAUCGAUAUUGUAUAAGAUCGAUUAAAGAUUUGAAUGAAAAGAUUAUUCCUUUCUUUAAAGAAAAUGAAUUAAGAACCGAAAAAAAGAAAGAUUUCGAUUUAUUCAUAAAGAUUAUAGAACUAAUGCUUAAGCAAGAACAUUUUAAUCUUAAAGGAUUAAAAAAAAUUGCUAAAUUAAUCCAGAAAAUGAAUCGAAAAAAACCAUCUAGGUUUUUAGAAUCCUCAGAGACUAUACGCCGAAAUCGUCAUAGACGAUAAGAUAUAGUCCGAUCUGUAUAGCGAUAUACAGGAUUUCGUCAGCUGACGAAUGAUAACGAUUUGAGCGAAAUUCCUUGGCAUGUAAUUUAUGUCCUGCACGAAUGGCGUCACGACUGGGAAACUGUCUCCACGAAGAGCCCGGUGAAAAUGCAGUAGGGGUGAAGAUGCCCCUUACCUGCGGCAAGACGGAAAGACCCUAGGAGCUUUACUACAAGUUCUCAUUGGGGUAUUGUUUUAAAUGCGUAGCAUAGUGGGGAGGCUUUGAAACUUGACUUUCGGGUUAGGUGGAGCCGCCAGUGAAAUACCCAUCUUUUGAAAUGGUACUUCUAAUCUGCCUUUAUGGUGGAAACAGUGGGUGCUGGGUAGUUUGAGUGGGGCGCUCGCCUCCAAAAUAGUAACGGAGGCGCUUAAAGGUCAACUAAGCCCGGAUGGAAAUCGGGCCUGUCGUGUAAAGGCAUAAGUUGGCUUUACUGCAAGACGGACAUGUCGCGCAGUUGCGAAAGCAGAACUUAGUGAACCGACUGUUGGUUGUAGAACCGCAGAAGAUCACCGGAUAAAAGUUACCCUAGGGAUAGACUCUGAAAAAAGAGUUGUUGUCCGAUCCAUUCCGUAAGGAUGGAGAAGUACGGCUUAUAACG
rnacentral:rRNA from 1 species